UGGGGGCCACCCAAGGAACUUCUGAGCCCUUUCUUGAGCAGCGGUCUUUGGAAGGGCAUUUUGGGCAGAGCAGGGCUUUUUGAAGGGGCAGCAGCUGAAGACAUCCCAAGUUUGAGCUGGGUGAGAGCCCCCAGCCCUUGUUCUGUACCCAAGCUUGGGAACAUGCAGCAUCACUCAGCUCGCUGGUGCUGCACCCCAGCCCAGAGUUGCACUGAGAAAGGAUGGGGGACCCAAAAAGACCAAGCAAACAGAGCUUGAACAGCUGAAUCCCAGCGUUUACCUACUCCUUCACUAUCUCGGCAGCCACAGCAAGUCAGUGCUGGCUGCCUUUGUUGCCCUCUCCAGGGCCUCAGGCAGGUGGCCACCCCAGUGGCCACUGUGGCCCUGGGCCGUGUCUGCAAGGUAAUGGAGCAGAGUUGUUUCCUAGGGGCACAAAGAGUUGAUACAUGUUGGGCACGAACUUGCUCAUAAACAAAUUCCACACAAAUUACUGUUGUUUUUCAGCCCUCAAAUGAAAAGAGCAUAGAGGACCCUGAGCAGAGCAUCACAAUUUCUGUGAUCUAUCUAUCUGCCAUGGCUUCAUGAGCAGUUCUCCUUGCGUGACCCUAGCCAUGGAGGGCUGUGAAAAAAAAAAACCACCCAAAUCAGUGGCUGCAUUUAGGAAAAGCAAGUUUAACUGAGCCUGCAAGCUUAAAAUAAAGGUUGUAGUUUGCUCACAGUAACAGUGAUGUGUCAAGGUGUGAGCUGUGUUUGGUCUGGCUGUAUGGCAGUGCUAUAUUUCCCAAGCAGGACGUAGAAACAGGACACCAAGGACCAUUUUGGGCUUCCCCGGAGACAGCGUGAACGUCCGCUGCACCUGGUAUUCCCUGGGUAGUGUGCACCACUGCUGCUGGCCUCUCACCAGCCAGAGACCCCUCCUCACCACCCACAGUUGGAGGGAUGCUGGGCUGGAUCGAGAGGGUGGUUCCCCAGCCCCCAGUGCCCCAUCUGACGGAGGAGACGCCCCUGGGCCCAGUGCAGGACCCGGAGCCGGCUAAGCGUGGGGAGCAGUGUGCUCUCCUGGCUCUCUCAGGGUCUGGAGAAGGUGAUUCCCCAGCCGGUCCCGGCCCCAGGGACGCUGCAGGCACUCGGGAAGAGCUUCGAGACAAGCAUCGAUGUUCCCGAUCAGGUAGGUGACAGGUCUGAGCAACGGUCUGGCGUAUUUGGGCUUCUAACUCUUCUUACCUUUUCUUUUGCUUAUCUUUUUCUUCCUAUCACUCUUCCAGUGCUAACUGGGAGUGCUAAACCUGCCCUGUGUGGGCUUCUGCCUUCAUCCAUCCCUAGGGAAAGGGCAGGUUUCCCUCCCUGCCCAGAGGGAUGAGCCCCCCCUGGGCUCCCAGGCAAGUUAUGAUCUGUUUUGCUUUUCAGACGGAGGUCCAGGUCCUCAAGGAUGAGGAAGAGGAUGCUCUGGGU
rnacentral:lncRNA from 1 species